UAGAGGAAGUAAAAGUCGUAACAAGGUUUCCGUAGGUGAACCUGCGGAAGGAUCAUUCAUAAUAAGUGUUUAUGGCACUUCUUAAAUCCAUAUCCACCUUGUGUGCAAUGUCAGUCGUUUUCUUUAUGGAAUCGACCAAACAUCAACUUAUUUUUUUAACUAUCUGUCUGAAAACUAUUAUGAAUAAAAAAUUCAAAUACAACUUUCAACAACGGAUCUCUUGGCUCUCGCAUCGAUGAAGAACGCAGCGAAAUGCGAUACGUAAUGUGAAUUGCAGAAUUCAGUGAAUCAUCGAAUCUUUGAACGCAUAUUGCGCUCUUUGGUAUUCCGAAGAGCAUGCUUGUUUGAGUAUCAGUAAACACCUCAAAGCCUUCAAUUCAGUUUGGAAGCUUUGGACUUGAGCAAUCCCAACACUAGUCUCGCGACUGGCGGAGGGUUGCUUGAAAUGCAGGUGCAGCUGGACAUUCUCCUGAGCUAUAAGCAUAUUUAUUUAGUCCCGUCAAACGGAUUAUUACUUUUGCUGCAGCUAACAUAAAGGGAGUUUGACCGCAUUGGCUGACUGAUGCAGGAUUUCACAAGGGCUGGCAACAGCUUUCUUGUAAAACUCGAUCUCAAAUCAAGUAAGACUACCCGCUGAACUUAAGCAUAUCAA
rnacentral:rRNA from 1 species